UUGCUUUUUUCAAGCCUUUGCUCUGGACACAGAGGGGAGCUGAGUGCUGCUUUGGGGAGGUUUCUUUGCUGUGCUGAUUUUACCUUUGCUGAUUCUCUCAAUGUUUUGCUCUAAGCUUGAUCUGCUCCCAGAGGUCCUGGAAGUAAAACCAGACCCAUAUUCCAGGCCAGAGCUGGAGGAACCCUGGGCUUUGUUGCUUUGAGAAGGGCCAUUCUUUAAUGGAAAUGUCUGAUCUCGCUACAGAAGAAAGAAUCAGAGUUUUGAAAAUGAGGAUUUCUGCAGGAUGGAAAUUCCUGGUGUCUGUCCUUUCACAAAACUGCUGUGAAUUUUGA
rnacentral:lncRNA from 1 species